rnacentral:tRNA from 1 species
AUUACAUUGGCAGAAUAGUGUGUUAAAUUUAGAAUUUAAUUAAAUAAUAAUUUAUAUUAUAUGUAAUA